AAUAGUAACCCAAAAUACAAAAUUUCGAGAACGUCGAAUUUAACACGUUAGAGCUAGGUAAAUGUGAAGUUAAGUUUAUUUUGGAUUUAUUUUAAGUUUUAGUACUGAAACAUUGGAAAAUUUCGUGUUUCAGUGGAAAAGAAUACCGGGACAGAACCCGAGGAGUCGAGUCAAGGCCAACAGGCGACUCGUUUGAGAUACAGAGACUAGAGGAGCAGCAGACUGAGCUGCUGAGGAUUGAGGAUCGUUCUGCUUUGAAGCUAUCGGGUAUAAUUUAUACCCUGAUCGUAAAUAUUUAUUUUGAUGUAUGUAAUGCACAGAAAUGUAUGGACAUGUGAAGAUGGGUUUUGAGCAGCUUGUACAAAAUCUGUAUAAAAUUUAUAAUAAACUUUAGUUUGGAUUUUCUUAAUGUAAAUUUUUGUAUGAUAUAUACAUAAAUUGUUUAUCUUUGAAGAAAUAUGAAUGUAUGAAAUUGAUUGACUGUA